rnacentral:misc_RNA from 1 species
GGAAAGAAUCUCUCGGCAGGAUCUUGAUGCCGGUGAUCGCGAGGAAUAGCAGAUUGAUCGCUUCAUACUAAUUUCUUGGGAUCCAGCUUUGUAUUUUCGGAGAUGGCUACUCCCGUUGAUCCACCAAACGGAAAGGGAGUAUGCGGAAAGCACUACUAUUCUAUGUGGCAAACACUUUUUGAGAUCGACACCAAAUAUGUACCAAUUAAGCCUAUUGGAAGGGGAGCAUAUGGCAUUGUCUGUUCUUCUGUAAACAAAGAAACUAACGAGAAGGUUGCCAUUAAGAAGAUCCAUAAUGCCUUUGAGAAUCGUGUCGAUGCAUUAAGGACCUUGCGCGAAUUAAAG